UAAGGGUCGCACACGGCGGCCCGCCCGGCAGCCCGCCCCCCCGCCUCUCCGGGCCGUCGCCCUGGGCUCCCGCUCUGCCGGCCACACCGCGGCGGCCCCUCCCCGGGGACUGGGGACUGUCACCUCCAGGAGCUUGGCUAUGAGGGCCGCGUAGAGCACCGACAGGGGGCCCAGCAGCUCGGGGUCCCCCGGGGAGGCGGUGACAGCAGGCACGGUGGCAGGCACCGAGUCCAUCGCGUAGGGCCGGCUGCGCGGAGGCGACGCUUCCUGCCGACAGCACCGAGUCGGCUCUCACCGCUUCCGCCUCGGAAGCGCCGGCUCCGGGGGCGGACACUCGGGACGAACUUCGCCUUCCCGGGUCGCGGCGCCUUCCGCACUAGGCCGCCAGGAAAACGCGUCAUCAGACAGCGCCCAGGAGACCACGUCAGCGCACCCAGGAAGCCUGCGAGCCCGGAGAGGCCGGGAGAGGCCGGGAGAGCCCGGAGAGCCCGGGAGAGCCCGGGAGAGCCGGGGCGGGACUAGUGCCGGACAAACCAACCGCCUCUCCUCGGAAGAAUCCAGGAAAGAGUGGAGGCCAUAUCCUGUACCAUAUCUGUGUCCCUAUCUCAAACCAAGAAGAAAAUCCUAACAUGCCUAGGACUGUGAGGAAGUCAGACUUCCUCCCACAUCCCAGCACUUGGAUUUCUUGAAGGAUAGCAUUGUGAGGGUGCUUCUCACUGGAAGCAUCAGAACUGCAACGGCUCAAAACCACCACACCUUUGCCAAGCAACUGUGGAGAAAACUGAAGAUAGAUUUGUUCUGCUCCAUCUUUUUCAUCCAGGCAGCCUCUCUUUGGAAUUUGCUGGGCAGUCAACAUCUUUAUUGCUGCCCUCUGAGUAUAAAAAAGAACAGGACUGGAAGGAGACCAGACAUCUCCACAGGCACUUCACCCUGUCCCAACACUCAGCUGUUGCAGCAGCAGCAGUACUUUUUACUGCAUUUUUCAGAUGAGGAAGCUGAGGUUCAGAGUUUAGUCAUUUGCUCUUUGUCAUCUUGGAAAACAAAUGGAAUGGAACAGUGGUUGGUGGAAACAGAAGGGGGCAUCAGGAAGACAAAGGAAUUGGAUGAGGAACAGAAAAGCACAGUGGAGCUAGUUCUGAGUUUUCUGUUAUUACAGUUUAUGAGUUUUCUCAAAUGAUUGCAAGUGGACUGGAGAUGUGGCUCAGCAGGCCAAGGUGCUGGCUGCCAACUCUGAUGACAUGGGUUUGGUUCCCAGAACCCACAAAGGUAGAAGAGGGAAGUGACUCCUGCAGGUUGUCCUCUGACUGCUUCCCAUAUACGUAUGCACACACAUAUAUAUGUGUGUGUGUGUAAAAACACUUAACACGAAUACACAUAGAAAUGAUCAUUGUCCUGACUGCUACUCUGAUUUGAUCAUUACAUAAUGUACACAUCUAUCAAAUGUCCAGAACUGAUGGGCGGUGGUGGUACGCGCCUUUUAUCCCAGCACUUGGGAGGCAGAGGCAGGUGGAUCUCUGAGUUGAAGGCCAGCCUGGUCUACAGAGUGAGUGCCAGGACAGGCUCCAAAGCCACAGAGAAACCCUGUCUCGAAAACAACAACAAAAAACCAAUGUCCAGAACCCACACCAUAAAGAUGUACACUUCUUAUGCUUCAAUUUAAACAAGGUUUAAAUUAGGAUUUGAAACAAAACCUUCCUGAAUCAAAACCUGUUUAUAGAAAAUAUCAACAGCAAAACACUAUUACACAAGCCUCAAAAUUACAGGCCCUACAGGAGACUGCUUGACCAUGGAGACACUUUGCAAUCCUGGCAUCACUUUGGCCUCCAUCCUCAUCCAAUUUACCUAAAAAAAUGUCCAGUAUCCACACACUCCACAAGGGGGAGCUAAUCCUUCACACUUGACUAAGCUACUAGGGAUGGUUAAAUGUCUUCUUGAAUUCCCGACUCUCUUCAGAAAGAUUAGCCUAAAUAAACAUUUUGCCACCAUAGCUCUUUCUAGGAAACAGAUCUGACCAGCCACUUCCCUAUUUCAAACCUUCAAAGGGUACCAACUCUGACAGUUUGACAGAACUCACAUCACACACACACCGCCUUUGUCAUGUGUCCCUCCUCUCUCCACAGACCCCAUGGCGUCCUAUUACCCUUCCCCAUCCAUUAUUCAACAAGAAACUAUACAUCAUAUUCCCUUUGGUCCUGCUUGCAACAUCUCAGCUAACUCCUAACCUCCUUUCUUCUCUACCAACCCUGACAAAAUCCUCUCUUUCAAGUGGACGUCUCCAGGCCCCUGGGAUACUGAAAGGUCCCCAGGAGGUAAACCAUGUUUUUUAGGUGUAUACCUGCCCAGCCUUGCCAGGCAGUAAACUCUCAUGUGCUAAACUAACAGCCCUUAAUUAAACCCAUCCACUUUCUGCUCUUCUCGGGACUCACCCACCUUUCCAGGCUCAGAGAUCAUGAGGACAUUUUAAAUUCUUCACUCAAGUGAAGUCAGAGUCAACUUAAAACCUGCUAUAAAUCAAGCCAAGGUGGUAGCCCAUGGCUACAACAUAAACACUUUGGAGGUGUUAGCUGGAGGAUCAGGAGUUCAAGGUCAGCCUUGGCAGGUGUCAGUCCUCACCCAAACCUCCUCCCUGCAGAACACCCCUGUAGUAGUCAGCCUUUUAGCCGAGGGAACUCAGACUUACCAUCUUACAUAAAUAAAGAAUGAAGGAAUACAGGGGACCAAGUUCAUUUUCCAGAGGUGGGACAUUGGCUGGCUCCUCUGCCUUUGUCUCCGGGAGCGUUUCUACAUCAUCACCAAUCCCAACAGGAGAGCUUUCGGUUACAAGGAAAGCUAAAAGGAAGCAAAAGACACCAUAUUUUCUUUUAUGUUUUAGAAUGAGAAUUGUUUCUCUUCGUUUAAAUGUUUAAAUGAGUAUCCUCUAAAUACUAAUCAUUGAGCAUAGAAUAUUUGAUUCUCCUAAGGAAAAUUACACAGAGAAAUUCAAAAGCCAGGAUCUUAAUCGGAUCCAUCAGACCUUUGAUUAUAAAAAUAAAAUCAUCUCCACUAUCCAGGGUACUUCAUCAUGUCUCCUGUCCAUUGAGAAGAAUUGAAAACAAUCAAACCUUCAAAUUUUAUUAUUUCUCCCUAUAGACAGAAUUGCCAGGCAGAGUGCUUUAUGCCUUUAAUCCCUGCACUCAGGAAGCAGAGGCAGGAGGAUCUCUGAGUUCAAAGCCAGCCUGGUCUACAGAGAGGGAUCUUGUCUCAAAACAAACAAACAAAUCUCCCCAAAACCAAACUAACCAACAACAGCAAAAAACAAAACAAAAAAAAUUAAAAAAAAAACCAGCACCAUCAAAAAAAAACAUAUAGACCAGCACAUUCAGCCAUCUGUGACUUGGUGUUCACAGAACACUAUUAGAAACUUUAGAGAAGAGUUGUAAAAGAACAACUUUCAGAAGCCAACAAGAUGGCUCAGUGAGUAAGAGUGCUUGCUGAAGGAAAAAUCUGACUCCUGAACGUUGCUUUCUCUACAUGUGGGUGCAUACACACACUAAAUAAAAAUAUUAAAGAGAAAAAGGCUUGCAGCUAGAAUAUACUGAGGCUUAGCAUAGUGGCAUGUAGCAGGUACUUAAUACUUAUUAUGGGCCGGUGACGACUCCAUGAAAUGUAGUAAAUACCAGGAAUGAUUUGCGGAGUGGGCACUGGCAUAGAAGCUUUGUGAGAGAAGGAAAGCCCAGUCAUACCCGAGAGGAUUCCACACGAGGAGGUGGGGGAGGGACAGGCAGGGUUUCAGCUUGAGUUACAUGAGCUCGGCAUGUCUUGUCAACAGCAGUUAAUGGAAAGUUGGACUGGACUUUCUAGGGGUCUCUCCCAACCCUAAAACUCAGUUCACUAUUGACCUAGUACUGACAAUGGUCACAUUUCCCAGUCGGGUCAGCAUCCUAGCACCUGAGGUACACGUUUUGACACUGGGAAGGACUUGUCUAGAAAGACAGCUGGCACUAUGUGGGAAGAUCUAAAGCAAAGAUUCUGUUCCGAGUUCUGUAAGCACAGCUUUUCCCAAUUCUGAAGGUUUUGAGCAAAAGCAAUGCAUCUCAAUGGUGCUUGACUCUUUCAGUAAACAGGACCUUUCUGAAUGAACAGUAACUUGGAAAUGUGACACAUGACCAUGAUGUGCUCUGGAACAGGAGAGUCCCCUGUUGCAUCAUUCACUCUUGGCCCAGCUAGACUUCUCCCUGCUGUGAUGUUUCCUGCAUUUUGUGUAUGAGCUGGAGAGCUACCCUAGUGACAUGAAACCCUUCAUUUCCACAGACUAACACUAAAGCUGUGCUUCACAUACAUACACUCUCCCAUGCACACCCAAAAUACUGCUGGAGCUGGCAGUCAGUGGUCACACACUAUCCUAACACGCAGGAGGCCCUGAGUAUGGUCCUCAGGGCUGUGAAAAAAACAACACCCCCCCCACCCAAAGAAAGUCAGUAAUGACAUCCUCAUGGUACUGUAUUGGGUGGCAGGUAGCACAAUGAGAGCUACUAAUGAAAUGAGAGUGAGCAAUACAACAAUUAGGAAACCAUCGAAACCAUUAUUGAGGAUGUUAAAAAGCAAAACAAAACACUUUAUCUCCCACCCAUAUUUCCUGUGUGCUGUAAAUCAAGUAUUUACAAUUGCAGAUGUCAGUCUCCUCUGGACUGUCAUUCCUGCACUGUUUCCUAAAAGCCUACUCUAAAAAGCCACCUGGACUCCUUCACAGCAUCUUAAAAAGCUGUAUUUGCUCUCUGGAGGCAGCAACUCAAAACAGCAACUGAAUUACUUACUGUAGCCAUUCGGAAGGGAGUGUGGAGGGAGAACCAAGCCCAGGAGUUUGGACUGUUACCUGGUGCCUAUCGGCUUUCCUGGGGGCUUAUUUCAAAUGGACUGCUGUCCCAGACCAGCACUUCCUGUGCUGCUGUCUAACAGAAAGCUCUGCCUUAGAGCAUGUGGUUGAGGGACAAGAGCUCAGGUUCACACUAAGAUGAUUUAUAGUGGCUGGGUUUGCAAAUUAAUGACGGCCCCUGGCUUCCUUCCAGUUUUGUGAACUCCAUGCAUCUGAACUGCUUUUCUGUUACUUGAGGGGAGAUUUUUAAAUCUUAUACACACCUGGGUUGUUCUCUUUCCUGCCUCUGCAAAUGAAUAGUCUUAGCAGGCCUUCUUCACAAUACAUGUCUACUUUGUAGACAAUAAACUUUACCUGGAUCUAUGUCUUUUUCAGUAUUUGACUUCUGUGACACCCAUGAGGCACUCAUGUGCUCAGUCACGGGUUGACCAAGCUCUUCCGGAAGCUGCAUACUGGUCACAGGUUGAUCCAAGAAACCAGGCUCUUCUGUAAGUUGCACACUGGUUGCAGGCUGCUCUGAGAGGCCAGGCUCCUCUGUAAGUUGUACACUGGUCACAGGCUGCUCUGAGAGGCCAGGCUCCUCUGUAAGUUGCACCCUGGUUGCAGGUUGAUCCAAGGAACCAGGUUGCUCCGGAAGCCGAACACUAAGAUCUUCUGUGUUUUCUUGUGGUAAGCUGUCCUUCAUGGGUGGCUGCAGCUCUGGGGAGGAACACAGAGAGUUUGAUCAAAGGUCCAUUUUGGUUUACUCAACUGACCAGCACUCCCUCACCACACAGCCCAAUAUCCUAGAUGGCGUGUGCACAGUGGAGAAGGAAACAAGAGUUUUAACUUCUUCCCUCUAGAUUAACAAUGACUGAAGUACAGAUUUACAAAGCAGAAGCCUUUACUCCACAGUGUUCCAUAAAUGCAUUCAUGGAAAAGACUCCAUUGACUUGCCAUGGCAAGCCAGCAUGUGCCCCCACAGUCACUCAGAAAUGAAUUCCAGUCGAGCACAGAACCCAGGAACCACAUACAGAACAUAACCUCCUUCACACCCAGGCAGCUGGGCUCACAGCCAGGCAGCAGGGCUCACAGAGCUCAUGUAGAGAAGGGCAUUCUGCACGUGGGCAGCUAACCAAAUUCGGUCAAACUACUCCCAAGCAACAAGGAGUGGGCCCAUCUCCUUCCCUAUGAGCCUGAACACAUCUUUGCAGCCUCAUAUUUUAUACCAAAAACUUAAUUUGAGUUUUUAAUCUUUUUUUUUUAAGAAAAAGAAUCAUCCUAUUUUGUGUGUAUGGGUGUUUUGUCUCUGUGUGUUUGUGAGUACACCAUGUACAUGCAGUGCCCACAGCGGCCACAGGAGGGCAUCAGAUUCCCCUGGAACAGAAGUAUAAUGAUUGUGAGCUGUCAUUGGGGACAGGAAUUCAGGUGCUCUGCCAGAGCAGCCUGUGCUCUUAACUGCUGAGUCAUCUCUCCAACCUGAAUUUUCCAUUCUUAACCAAAAGCUUUGAUUUAAAAACAAAAAAAAAAAAAGCUUACUCCUUCCAAUUCUCAGGAAAAUUAGUACCUCCAGAAGACAGAUAGAUGUUCCUGUAACUCUGUGCCCGCCACCAUUCACCUGCAGUGGCUACUUCUAUUUGCAAAACAUGGUACCCAGAACAUAAGGUGCAACUAGGGGUCAGGAGCUUACAGCAGGCAGGGUGUCCUGGGGUCAGUUCAGCAAAUACGCACUUCUGUUUGAGACUUACCUGUCUAGAGGAACAAAGAAGGCUAACUGGAGAGGGAGGGGUGAGGAAAGAGGGGGGUAGCAUGGUGUCAUAGAGAAGGGACAUGCUUGAAGUACACUGUAAGUCUGAAAUGUUAUGAAAGUAGUACAAUGCUGGACAUGCGUCCCUGUAAAUGAAGAAAUUGUGUUUAUUAAGCCCCUUGCCUUACUUGAAAGCUGUACUUUGUUAAGAGUUUUACUUUGUGAAUUAUUUUCUUGGUUAUUUCUUUCUUUUAAGAUUUUUUUUAUAAAGUUUCCUUUUGAAAAUGAAAACCAAUUUCAGCUGUCCCAUGGAAGGAAAAAAAAAAAAGCAGUAUUGUGGAUAAGGGGCAAUCUGUGUUCAUGUUAAGCCUAAAAGGGAGCUGGAAGGGAGGACGAGACCCUAUAGGUCUAGAGCCUCUCUUUUAGACACAUGGGGAGUGUGACUAGAGUUUCACACACAGGACCCUCUCCUUUAGACACAUGGGGAGUGUGACUAGAGUUUCACACACAGGACCCUCUCCUUUAGACACAUGGGGAGUGUGACUAGAGUUUCACACGGGAAAUGAAGCACUUUAGUGUGACCCCACCCCAAACACACAUCCCCUCCUGACCACCCUGCUCCUGCUUUCCCAGCCUAACUCCACAAGGUCAUAGGCAGGUACUUUACCUUCUACUGGUCCAGACCAGACUUCCUCCUGAGGUGGAGGUGUGGCCAGUGGGGCAGUCUCCACUCCAGAGUAUUGGUACCUGACAAAAUAGAUCAGAUCUUGUACGUCAUCCAACACUGCAGCUUCUUCUAACACGCUGUUCUCUUGUGUCCCCAGAUCUCUAUUUUUGUUCUCCCGAGUAUCAAGCAUAUUCUCUGCCGCACUUAGAAUUCGUGACUCAGAGGCACGGAAGACUUUAUCUAGGACUUUUUCCACAUUGUAAGGCAGGCUGUCCCGAUGUGCCGAUUUCAGCCUUAUUGACAUAUCUUGCAGCAUGCCCUCUAGCUCAUGGACAUCGAAGUACUUUAGGAAGCGAUACAGGGACUUCUGGUCCCUAAAGAAGCUGUUGAUGAUGGGCAAGUCUUCCCUCACGCUCUUGAGCACUAUGUCGGGAAUCUCAGGUGUAGCUUGUUGGGGUAGGUCAUCCCCAAGGUUUUGGGCAUCAGGCCCCUGGCUUUCUGAGCCUCCAAGCUCCUCUGGAUCCUCAAGUUCCCAUUCUGAGAUUUCUUCUCCCCCAGGAAUCUCAAGUCCCAAGGUGUUGACUAGUGCCUCAGGUUUGUCUUUUUGUAGGUCGUUAGGAUCUUUACUCUGAACAACUUCCCCGAAGCCUGGGGUGUGAGCUGCUGUCUUGUCAGGAAGGCCAUCAACUUCAGACAGCCCCUGAGCGCUCACACCUGCCAGAUGACUGCCUUCUUUGUCCACCAGCACACUGCCUGACUCCUUGCCCAUACCAUCUGCCUCUUCUGAUGUGGUUUUGCUCUUUUUCCCAAUCUCCAAAAUCAUAUUAGUUGCUUGUUUGUUUUCUUCAGUAUCAAGAUUAAGGGUCCCCAAAAUUACUUUUUCAAAACCCUGAGAAUUCAUAUCUGAGCUGUCGUGAGCCCUGGGGUGGUUUUCUUUAGACUGCUGUGCGCUCACGGCAUUUUCAUCCUCCAGUAACUCCUCAAGGGGGAACUCGUCCUCCUCUGCUUCUGGCCUUUGGGUAUGGACACUGGGCACUUCCGGGCUAUCAGCCUCCUGUGUCCCUUGUAUGGCCUGGGGGUGAGGUGGUUUCACAUCUGCAGGGUCUUCCCUGCCCUCUGCAACAGGUACAUCUCUCUCUUGGUGCUGCCAAGAAAGAUUUCUUCGCAGAGGAGGAACUUUCGUUUCCAGUUCUCCUGGAAGACCAGUUUCCUCUGGAGAGGAGAAUGUAGGUUGAUUCUGAAAUCCCUCCCAUUGGCCCACUUCUGGCCCACUGACGGAAGCGCCUGGGACUUCCAUCCUGUCCUUGGAUGCAUCAGGCUGAUGGUCUCCUAAGAGUGCCACAGCACCCAAGGAUUCCUGUUUGCUGUUACUUUCUGUCACUGGACUCCCCAGAGCUCUGUGUACCAAUUCACUCUCUAUGCUGUCUCUGUUCUUGUCUUCAUGGACUGUCUCCUUUGAGAUAUGGAUAACUGGUUCUUUUAGGCCAUUUUCUUUUCUUUCAAAGACUGCUUUUAAUGUAAAUUCCUUGGCCUUUUCAGCAGCUGGCAGAGGGUUAAGCUUGCUGUUCUGAGGUGGAUAAGCACUUGAUGUUUCUGUUUUGGACUCCUGGUGUGCCAGGCCUCUCCUGGAUUCCUGGAUCGCCUUCUCUUCUCCUGUUAUGACAAGUUGUGGGUCUGUUUUCGAGUCCUUUUCACCAUUUCUUUUGGAGUCUUCUACAAAAAGAUGGUCUUCUUUAUCCUCAGGGUCCAUAUGGGCAGCUGUUGACUGUGGCUUCCUUUGAUGACUAGCUGAAACCAACACAUCCUCCUUCUUGUCUUCCUCUGUGUUAGAACUCUCUAAAUCCACCACACCUGUUUCUCCUUCACCUCCUGUGACAAUAGAGAAGAAAGUAUCCCCCCAGGUUGUCAAUAUAUCUUUAUUGUCAUUUUGGGUGCCAGGAGGCAGAGGAGGUUCAACUUUAUCAUCUUCACUCAAGUUCAGAUUCUCAUCUGUUGAGUAUUUCUCCAUCCUAGGCUUCCUGGGAACAUUCUCUUCUUCAUCGGUAAAGGAUAGUAAUGGUAGCUCAUCAAAGCUGUCUGCAUUCUCCUCUUCUUCAUUUUCCACUGAGUAAUACUCAGCAUCUGGCUCUUCAUCAAGAUCGUCUUCUAAUGACGUGACCAGUCUGGUGGCCUCAUCGUCAGACACUAGUGCAUCAGCGGUUGAACCAAACUUGGUUUUCAAGUCAAGAGUCAUUUCUGUUUUCAGGACUUUGUAAGCAUCUAUCUUCUCCUGCUCCACUGAGACGGGAGAACUAUUGCUGGUUCUGUUUUCACUUCCUGGCACUUUUAAUUUAUCGUGCAGCAUUUCUUCAAAAUUGUCCAGUGAAGACUGCACUCCCUGAGCAUUAUCUGCUGCACUAUUGGUAUGAGGGUGGCUCUCCUGAGCCGAGGACUGUUCCUGCAGUUCCUCAGUGUUCUCUGAGAACACUCCUUCUAGUUCCCCUGAGUCCACUUUGGCUGGCUCAGGCUCAGGCUCAGGCUCAGGCUCAGGUGCAGGGUCAAGUUCAGUCUCUUGAGUCCCUUCAGGAGACUUCACUCCAUGCUGAGAAACCUCUUCAGCUUUCUCAGACUCCUCAGCUGUGGAGUCCUCAAAUUCCAAAGAACCUAAAAGUUCUUCUACAUUAUAAUUAUUAAAAUCAUCUCUUCCUCCUUCAGAACAGACAAAAUCUGUCUCCUGUAUGGAAAAAAAAAAUUGGUGUCUCAACAAUCAAGUGUCUCAAAAGCAUCCUUAUGCAAGUGACAAAGAUAACUCCCAAGUUUGUGCCUGCUCUGGAGGACUCUGAGUUAGUGUUGGGCCAGUAUGGGGAUGUCAGACAAGAGCCCAUUUUCGUUCUCCCCUCCUCGGGAGAAGACUGACUCACGUAGCUAGUGAGUUUGCUUGGCUCCAUUCCUGGUCUCUGUUUGGAAAAUAAUCUGUUCCCCCAUGCUGUCAGUUUUAUGGGGACAGUUGGAGGCUCCCAGUUGGCCAGCUCUGGUUAGGUAAAUCUGUCUUAUUCUACACUGCAAUUAUUUCUGCAUUUUUCAAAAACUGUGUCAUAUUCUCUAAAAAGCAUAGUGAGUAAACAAAUGGAAACAUGUUAUUCUGCCUCUGCGUGACUACUGCGUUUCUCAGUUUGUUCUGAACAUUCGGUGAGGAGUUGUAUUGUCAACUUGACAGCAUUUAUAAUUGCCUAGGAGACAGGCCUCUGGGUACAGCUGCUAAGACUUGUUUCCAGACCAGGUUAACUGUCCAGGGAAAGCCCACCUUACAUAUGGACAGCACCAUUUCCUGGGCUGAGGUCCUGGAUGAUACAAGAAGGAGAAAGCAACCUUAACAUCAGGGUUCAUCUCUCCAGCUUCUGAAGCACAGAUACAAGAUGAGCAGCUACCUCGAGCUCCUGCCUCGAUGAACUCCACCCUCAAACUGUGAGCCAAAAUAAGCGCUUCUUUCUUGAAGCUGCAUUUGCCAAGUAUUUCCCCACAGCACUGAGAAAAGUAACUAACAUAACAACAGGGGGAGGAGGAACAGGGAGCCCUGUAUUGAGACUCCCAUUUGUAAUAUCUGUGCCUGAUGACCAGGAUGCUGUCUGAGGAGCCACAGGACCAUGGUGCUCUUUAUCCCACGUCCUCCAUGCUAUAUGUCUGUGCCUAGACAGCUAGAGGCAGGCAGAAUUCCCUGGCUGUCAUGUUCUAAGUCUACAUGGAUUUUUGGAACAUAUUUUCCUUGGAUUUGGAAAUACUUAUGAACUUGAAAAGCAUCUUACUGCCAGGUGCAUAGAGAGUGAAAAUUCAAAGCAGUACCUAAGACCAUCAGAAAACACAGAUAUUUACAAUUCAUAACAGUAUCAAAAUUACAGUUAUGAAGUAGUAAUGAAAAUAAUUUUAUAGUUGGGGGUCACCACAGCAUGAGGAACUGUAUUAAAGGGUCACAGCAUUAGGAAGGUUGAGAACCAGUGCUUUAGAGGGAUGAAGAAUGGUGUCACAGGGAAUCUCCACUUUCAUUAUUACUGGAACAACUUGAAAACAAGGUUCAGUUCUGUAUGUUAGAGUUCUCUGCAGUGAUUGAUAUCUGCUUUAAGACUAUUCAUAAAUUUUCAUUCUUUCUUUUUCCCACAAGUAAGUAAUUUGGCACCAAAGAAAUCACACCCUGUAUAGAAAGGUAAAAGGGCAACUAAGAUGAUUGUUGCCCCCUAACCAAACUUUCACAAUAUUCUGGAGAGACCUGUCCAGUGCAGAACAGGCUAAUGACUUCCUUUUUCUCAUCACACAUGAUUCUGAGCCAUUUUCUUCAUGUCAAGAGAAGGGUGUCAUGGGAAGUAUAACAAGAAGACAGAAUCUAAAACAGGUGACAUCUCAGGGCGGAUGAACAUCUCCCAUCCUGCACAGCCCUUGUCAACAGAGAAGCCCAGUGGGAUUAUAAUGUGAGUACCUCGAGAGCAUCAAGGACUGUAAAGAAGAGUGACAGCUCUGUGGCACUGACCACUUUCUCACCCCAUCCCUGAAUUAUCCUACACCAGCGGCUUUGUGCUCUGCAGACGGGAAACGGGACUCACAUAAAGCCCUGAGCAUCCAUUUUCCCAGUCUGUGGCAUAAGUGUUACAUAAGUGUAUGAACAGGUCUGUACACAGCUUAGAGUUUGAUUAGCUGACCUUGAUUUCUAUCUAUUUAAAAUGUUUAGUACCCAAUGAGUAAUUUUCAAAUUGGGACACCUCUUUUUGCUUGUAAAAUAAAAUUAUUUACCUCUUUGAUAA